UACGGGGGGGGCAAGCGUUGUUCGGAAUUACUGGGCGUAAAGGGCUCGUAGGUGGCCGACUAAGUCAGACGUGAAAUCCCUCGGCUUAACCGGGGAACUGCGUCUGAUACUGGACGGCUUGAGUUCGGGAGAGGGAUGCGGAAUUCCAGGUGUAGCGGUGAAAUGCGUAGAUAUCUGGAGGAAUACCGGUGGCGAAGGCGGCAUCCUGGACCGGCAUUGACGCUGAUGAGCGAAAGCUAGGGGAGCAAACGGG
rnacentral:rRNA from 1 species